AUUGCGGCUGGGCAAACUUACUGAAAAGUAAGGACGCAAAGCCUCCGGCCUACGGUCUUCACGGAUCACGGUAGCGGGGUUGCCAGC
rnacentral:ncRNA from 1 species